rnacentral:rRNA from 1 species
UACGUAGGUGACCAGCGUUGUCCGGAUUUACUGGGCGUAAAGAGCGCGCAGGCGGUCGUUCAAGUCGAGUGUGAAAGCCCCCGGCUCAACUGGGGAGGGUCAUUCGAUACUGAUCGACUUGAAGGCAGGAGAGGGAAGUGGAAUUCCCGGUGUAGUGGUGAAAUGCGUAGAUAUCGGGAGGAACACCAGUGGCGAAGGCGACUUCCUGGCCUGUUCUUGACGCUGAGGCGCGAAGGCGUGGGGGAGCAAACAGG